rnacentral:rRNA from 1 species
UUAGAACGCUGGCGGCAUGACCUUACACAUGCAAGUCGAACGGUAGAGUAGCAAUACUUGAGAGUGGCGAACGGGUGAGUAAUAUAUCGGAACGUGCCCAGUCGUGGGGGAUAACGUAGCGAAAGCUACGCUAAUACGCAUACGAUCUACGGAUGAAAGCGGGGGAUCGCAAGACCUCGCGCGAUUGGAGCGGCCGAUAUCAGAUUAGGUAGUUGGUGAGGUAAAGGCUCACCAAGCCGACGAUCUGUAGCUGGUCUGAGAGGACGACCAGCCACACUGGGACUGAGACACGGCCCAGACUCCUACGGGAGGCAGCAGUGGGGAAUUUUGGACAAUGGGCGCAAGCCUGAUCCAGCAAUGCCGCGUGCAGGAUGAAGGCCUUCGGGUUGUAAACUGCUUUUGUACGGAACGAAACGGUGAGCUCUAAUACAGUUUGCUAAUGACGGUACCGUAAGAAUAAGCACCGGCUAACUACGUG